AAAUGAAUAGACGGGGGCCAGCACAAGCGGUGGAACAUGUGGUUUAAUUCGAUGCUACUCGAAGAACCUUACCCAGGCUUGACAUGUAGGAAGUACGAACCUGAAAGGGUUAGGACUCGUAACCAGUCGAGAACCUUCACAGGAGCUGCAUGGCUGUCGUCAGCUCGUGCCGUGAGGUGUUGGCUUAAGUGCCAAAACGAGCGCAACCAUUGCUACUAGUUACCAGCGGAUCUUCGGAUGCCGGGGACUCUAGUGGGACUGCCAGCGAUGAGCUGGAGGAAGGUGGUGAUGACGUCAAGUCAGUAUGGCCCUUAUGCCUGGGGCAACACACGUGUUACAAUGGGGUGCACAAUGCGCAGCAAACUCGUGAGAGCAAGCAAAUCGCCAAAAGCACUCCUCAGUUCGGAUUGAAGGCUGCAAUUCGCCUUCAUGAAGCUGGAAUCGCUAGUAAUGGCGGGUCAGAACACCGCCGUGAAUACGUUCCCUGGCCUUGUACACACCGCCCGU
rnacentral:rRNA from 1 species